rnacentral:rRNA from 1 species
GACGAACCGUGCGAACGUUGUUCGGAAUCACUGGGCUUAAAGGGCGCGUAGGCGGCUUGCCAAGUCGGGGGUGAAAUCCGGCAGCUUAACUGUCGAAGUGCCUUCGAUACUGAGAAGCUUGAGUCCGGGAGAGGUGAGUGGAACUGCGAGUGUAGAGGUGAAAUUCGUAGAUAUUCGCAAGAACACCAGUGGCGAAGGCGGCUCACUGGCCCGAUACUGACGCUGAGGCACGAAAGCGUGGGGAGCAAACAGG